AGUGGUGGAAGAAGAAGAAGAAGACCAGAACAACCAGAAAUUUGUUCGUUUCAGAUACUUCCAUAUUCACCCGACUUGGGCCCGCAAGAACAUAUCCGUUCGACCUUCAAGAUGGGUGAAUCUGAGUAUGCCAGCGCAAUGACUUCUUCGGCAUAUGGAACUGGCUUGUCUGGAACCAUUGAGAGCACUAUGGAUGCGAACAAAACGGAUCAGGGCGCUGCAGACAAUGCCGG